AGUGUGAGGAGGUACCCACCUUACUUCUAGCACAGCACCUGCCCAUUGUCCUAUAUCGGAGGUUCCUAGAGAAAUGAAAGAAAAUUGCAAAGUUUAAUUGGAAAUCUGUUGGAAUUGGUACAGGAAGAAUCCAAAAAUAGACUUCACACUCAUGUAUAUCAGGCUUUAUACCCUUCUUGGAAAGGCUACUGUCCCUGUUGUCACCCUCCAGAACCAUCUAGAAGCACCUGAUCCUCACUGCAAUUGCUGAAAGACCACAUCAACUCAAGUGAGUCACCAGUUAAGACCCACGUUAUCCUUUUGUUGUCAUUGUUGUUAUCUAAAGGGCCUUGUUGCUUCACGCAAUCAGUCAGUCAGAGUCUGGUAUAGGACUCUUAGGAAAAUGUAGUCAAG
rnacentral:lncRNA from 1 species